rnacentral:rRNA from 1 species
AUUGAACGCUGGCGGCAUGCCUUACACAUGCAAGUCGAACGGCAGCACGGGGCAACCUGGUGGCGAGUGGCGAACGGGUGAGUAAUGCAUCGGAACGUGCCAUUGAGUCGGGGGAUAACGUAGCGAAAGUUGCGCUAAUACCGCAUAUUCUGUGAGCAGGAAAGCAGGGGACCGCAAGGCCUUGCGCUCUUUGAGCGGCCGAUGUCAGAUUAGCUAGUUGGUGAGGUAACGGCUUACCAAGGCGACGAUCUGUAGCGGGUCUGAGAGGAUGAUCCGCCACACUGGAACUGAGACACGGUCCAGACUCCUACGGGAGGCAGCAGUGGGGAAUUUUUGGACAAUGGGCGCAAGCCUGAUCCAGCCAUGCCGCGUGAGUGAAGAAGGCCUUCGGGUUGUAAAGCUCUUUCGGCCGGGAAGAAAUCGCAUGGGUUAAUACCCUGUGUGGAUGACGGUACCGGAAUAAGAAGCACCGGCUAACUACGUG